rnacentral:tRNA from 1 species
CAAGAAGUAGUUUAUAUAAAAUUUUAAUUUUGGAGAUUAAAGAUAAAUGGUUAACAUUUUUUCUUGA